UACAGAGACUGCAAGCGUUAUUCGGAUUCACUGGGCGUAAAGGGUGCGCAGGCGGUUGGGUGUGUCAGAUGUGAAAUCCCGAGGCUUAACCUCGGAACUGCGUCUGAAACUACUCGACCUAGAGUACUGGAGAGGGAAACGGAAUUCACGGUGUAGCAGUGAAAAUGCGUAGAUAUCGUGAGGAACACCAGAGGCGAAGGCGGUUUUCCUGGACAGUUACUGACGCUCAGGCACGAAAGCAUGGGGAGCAAAAGGG
rnacentral:rRNA from 1 species